GCUAGGUGCGGUGGCGCACACCUGUAAUCCCAGUGGCUUGGGAGGCUGAGGCAGGAGGAUCCUGAGUUCAAAGCCAGCCUCAGCAACUUAGUGAGGCUCUGAGUAAUGCAGUGAGACCCUCUCUCUA
rnacentral:sRNA from 1 species